UCGAGAAUUUUUCUCAAUGGGGGAAACCCUGAAGGAGCGACGCCGCGUGGAGGAUGAAGGUCUUCGGAUUGUAAACUCCUGUCAUUGGUGAACAAGGCCAUCGGUUAACUGCCGUUUGGUUUGAUAGUAGCCGAAGAGGAAGAGACGGCUAACUCUGUGCCAGCAGCCGCGGUAAUACAGAGGUCUCAAGCGUUGUUCGGAUUCAUUGGGCGUAAAGGGUGCGUAGGCGGCGAGGCAAGUCUGGUGUGAAAUCCCGGGGCUCAACCCCGGAACUGCACUGGAUACUGCUUUGCUAGAGUACUGGAGAGGGAACUGGAAUUUACGGUGUAGCAGUGAAAUGCGUAGAUAUCGUAAGGAAGACCAGCGGCGAAGGCGAGUUCCUGGACAGUUACUGACGCUGAGGCACGAAGGCCAGGGGAGCAAACG
rnacentral:rRNA from 1 species